GUUCCUGUAGCGCAAUGGGUAGCGCGUUGGACUUUUAAUUCAAAGUUCAUUGGUUUGAAUCCUAUCUGGGAUG